rnacentral:ncRNA from 1 species
AAGAUAAGAUAUCCCUUCGUAAGAGUAAGACCUCUCAAAGACUAUGAGUUUGAUAGGCUCAAAGUGUAAGCGUGGUGACACGUUCAGCUUGCGAGUACUAAUCGGUCGAGGGCUUUUCCUUU